AACGAACGCUGGCGGCAUGCCUAACACAUGCAAGUCGAACGAGACCUUCGGGUCUAGUUGCGCACGGGUGCGUAACGCGCGGGAACCUGCCCUUAGGCUCGGAAUAACUCUCCGAAAGGGGUGCUAAUACCGGAUAAUGUCUUCGGCCCAAAGAUUUAUCGCCAUUGGAUGGGCCCGCGUUGGAUUAGCUAGUUGGUAGGGUAAUAGCCUACCAAGCCGACGAUUCAUAGCUGGUCUGAGAGGAUGGUCAGCCACACUGGGACUGAGACACGGCCCAGACUCCUACAGGAGGCAGCAGUGGGGAAUAUUGGACAAUGGACGAAAGCCUGAUCCAGCAAUGCCGCGUGAGUGAUGAAGGCCUUAGGGUUGUAAAGCUCUUUUACCCGGGAUGAUAAUGACAGUACCGGAAGAAUAAGCUCCGGCUAACUCCGUG
rnacentral:rRNA from 1 species